rnacentral:rRNA from 1 species
AACGAACGCUGGCGGCAGGCUUAACACAUGCAAGUCGAACGCAUCGCAAGAUGAGUGGCAGACGGGUGAGUAACGCGUGGGAACAUACCCUUUUCUACGGAAUAGCUCUGGGAAACUGGAAUUAAUACCGUAUACGCUCUACGGGGGAAAGAUUUAUCGGGGAAGGAUUGGCCCGCGUUGGAUUAGCUAGUUGGUGGGGUAAAGGCCUACCAAGGCGACGAUCCAUAGCUGGUCUGAGAGGAUGAUCAGCCACAUUGGGACUGGGACACGGCCCAAACCCCUACGGGAGGCAGCAGUGGGGAAUAUUGGACAAUGGGCGCAAGCCUGAUCCAGCCAUGCCGCGUGAGUGAUGAAGGCCUUAGGGUUGUAAAGCUCUUUCACCGAUGAAGAUAACGACGGUAGUCGGAGAAGAAGCCCCGGCUAACUUCGUGCCAGCCGCCGCGGUAAUAC